GACAUUUGUUUAAGAUACUUGCUGUAUUUUUUUAAAAUAAUGACUCUUUAUGGCGAGGCUGUUCUUUAUGAAAUCCUUCUUUUGUUCCCAAGAUACAUACCAACAGAAAGGUCACACUUGAAAAGGCUGUUAUGCAUACUUGAACAACAACAAGUAGUUCUAAGAUCUAAACUGGGCAGUGAUUAAAUAGACAUCAAAUCUACAAAAUCUAUACAAUAUACAUAGAACAGAAGGUUAUGCUGGCUGACCUAAGUGGCCACUUGAACUCAAGUCUCCCGUAAAAAUUAACUGUAUUAUCACCCAGAAGAAAAACAUGUGAAAGCGCUUAGAACCAGUUAUGUUUGAUCCGCUGUCCGCAGCUAUUACAACUACAGCAGGCUGCUCUCUGGUUAUACCAACAUCAUCUUGAUUGAGAGUUGUGUAAGAGUACCCAGCAGUAUUACAGUACAGAAAGAAGCAAAAAGAAAGAAAGAAAGAAGUCAGCCAACCUAGCAGCCAAAUAAAAUCACUGCUUAUCACACUGGUAACUGCAGUAGCUGCUUUUGAAUAUUCAGUUCUAUGGGUCUAGUUCUCAAACAUGUCAGUCUCUAAGCAAUUAUUGCUAUUUCUAUUGCAACACGGAAGAAAUAGUUGGGAAGCAAAAAUGCUGCUUUAAUCUAAUGGGUGCUCACUGCGGUUUGCUAAUAAAUUAUUGGGUUUAUUGCUACAUCUGCAAGAUAAACUUAUCCUUCCCGAAUACAAUGGAGGACACCAACCAAAAUGAAGACAAUCUCAGUAGACAGAAAAAUAAUUCAAGGGAGUCUAAACCAGAAUACCUUAACAGUAUGGAAAGGCAUGUGAUAAUGACUGUGUGUGAAUCAAGAUCACAGAACUGCAUGCAAGUCUAAAGCGUCUGUGUGGUCACUCAUGCUCCCUACUUACACAGGGUUUAUUUACAUUCAGUGAGUAGAAAGUCCUGCACAGUGUUUUAGGAUGCAAUUAAGCACAUCUCAGUGAAAUCAAGGCAACUUCUUACAUUGAAAGCUGAACCUAUGUACAAACUUAAUUGCACUGGUAAAGUACGAAACAAAGAUUGCUCAAUAACACCCUUUCUCCGUGGUCUCAGCAGGCUCAGCCUGAGCUCUGCAAUGGCAUAGCCUCAAUGCUGACCACAACCAACAGUGGGUUUGGAGGGAGUUAUGCCACUGGAAGAAGGGGGAAGAAGCAGCAGGAAUGAAGCUGACUCCAAAAUGACAUCGCUGUACUGGACUGGAACUACAGUCUUCAGUAAAAUUACUGAAAAAGACAAGCACAAAAUAACGAAGUAUAACUUGGCAAACAAAACAUAUGCCUCUGACGUGUGGAGAUAAAACAUGUUGCAUCCUGCACAGGCAGCCAAAGGCAAACAGCAGAGAAUGCAUCGAAACCCAAGUGGGAAGGAAAGCUGGGAGCUUGUCUGCAGUCUGAGAAUGACAAUUCUGAUAGCAACAUGCAAUUGCUUCCAGCACUCCCACUAAGCUGCAAGGUGGCACCAGAGCCAGCCAGGAUGGAUCCUGCCUUGCAGUUCUUUGUAGCACGGCCAGGCAGGGAUUAGCCCUCUCUCUUGCCAUAAGGCUUAGAGUUAUUACAUCUAAAAUUCAGCGCUAAAUAUGCAAUUAUUAUACAAUAUAUACAAUAAUAUACAACUGCAGUUGUAGUUUGCAAACUACCUUUGAGCUGAUUUAGAAGUAUUUAAGGAGGCAAUAAUCCUUUUUGUAAAGAUCUCUAUUAACACAACUAUUUAGCUGUAGUGUAGGGUUUUUUUUAAAUCUUGUUCUCUAAUUUAGGUAUAUUCUGGCUCUGAAAUGGUAUCGUUAGCAAUCUGAAAAUGGAGCAACGGCUAAACGCUUAGAAGUCAGUACUGACACACAUAUAAGGAAAUGUAGCUCAGAUAAUUGCUGUAUGUCUGCAUAAGGCUGUGGUACUGUCCAGAAUGGUAUCAUUUCACUGUUAGUCCAUGCAAACAAAGCCAAAAAAGAAAAAUGUGAAAAAAUGACUUUCAAGCAGGAUUUAUAGCUGACCAUUUCUGAGUAAUUACAAGAAUGACAGCAUUAACAGACUCCAAUUCAAAUACCUUUGUUAUAUUAUCCUGCCAGGUGCAUUUCAGCUGCCAUUUUUGUUGUGUUUUUUUUUUUGUUCAAUAAGCUCUAAGCCUACUCAGUGUAAAAAGAAAUUAAAAUCCUCACCACAUCAUGGUUUCAGAUCCAGAUCAUAGGAGAAUCUUAAGAUGAGAACUGAAUGAAUUCCUCCAAAGUAUGUUUGCUAAAUAUUAAUAAGAAUAAUCUAACACACAUGCACAUAUAGCACCCAGAUCCUCUAGCAUUUCAUUUGCAUGACAUUCAGUUUUAAUGCAUAAGUUGCCAGCUACUCAAAUGAGGGGUUUAUAUACACAGCUUAAGCACUAUUGUAAUCUUUUAUAAAAGAACAUUAGCAUUUUCUUUUGCAAAGAGAUAGUUAUUGGCACUAGCUAAGGCACUAGUUUAUCUUGGACCAACAGCAAAACAUAUAUAAAACACAAGCAUGGCUACAGCAAUUAAUGACAUUUGCAGAAAUUUAAUGGUUGGAACUGAGACUGGAGAAUGCAGCAAGGCCAGGAAGUGAACCUGCAGUGCAACCUUUCUCAAUAAAAAAAGUUGCUCACCUUUCAAUUGUUUGUUCAGUUUUCCCAAGGAGGUGGAAAUCACAUCAGAGAUGGAUCUACCACAUGGGCUAUGGCAACUACUUGCACUUGCUAUGAUAGUUUCAUGACAAGACAACUCCUCCCCCCAUUCUCCCAAAGACAAGUUUCAUCCGUGAGGUUAACAAUGACGUGAACACAAAAAGAUACUGACUUAUAUAAGCCUUCACUGCAUGCCUGGAGCACAUAUGCAAAGUAAGAGCUAAACUCUGAGCGCCAAUAACAAUAGAGGUAGACUGGUAUUUUUCACUUUAAAAACACACAGUUAGCUCUCACUAUUCAAGCUAGUAGUCUUUCACUAGAUAGCCUAGUCCUACUAUAAUUAGUAUUUCAUAAGCAAAACCUUACAAGAGGCAACUAACUGCCUCCGCAAUACAUACAGAUAUGAGAAAAGUUACAUCACUUAAAAUAGACAAAGGUGGGAGUGGUUUUUUUUGUUUUGUUUUUUAACAAAACUAAGCUAAGCACAGUUCUUUUUUUCUUCUCUCCUUUGGAGAAGAGUAGCUGUUCCCACCCACAGUAAGGGUGGCUGGAAAUGGCAGAGAAAGGAGUCACACUGAAAUAGCUGUUGAGGUUCCCUGUCCCAAUGGGAAGGAGAAACUCACAAGGCUGCCUAUCCAUCUAAAAGUCUCUGGAUCUGUAGAUUUGGGGCCCAGGACUUUCAGAGGAUGAUGCUGACCACCAGUAUCACUUACCAUGACGCAUUAUACACCCAUCUGAUUUUGCAAAGUUCAAUCUGACACUGCCAGAUCUUAGUGGAAUUUUCAAAGGAAAAACUGUUCUAGAUCACAGAACUGUAAGGCAGCACAGUACAAAUCUUCAGUAAAUGUUACCUAUGGAUUUUAUGAAGGUAAAAAUCUUUGCUUCUGCUUAAAAACCUAAGUUCAAUUUAUAUUCAUGUCCUGAGUGGGUAAAUUAGAAACAGAAAUUUGUAAAAAAAAAUUAAAAAAUAAAAAAAAUUCAAGCAAUGCAUCAGUGAAGGAGAAAUCCAAGAUCCAGCACCAUGCUAUUCAUGCAGCACGUUAAGUUUUAAUGUGUAAACACAAGAAGAAACCACUCACUUUGACAACUACAAAGUAAUUUUCUAAGGGAAGUAACUACCCUUCAAAUGAAAGGGUAUUUUGUCCCAUUUAAUACUAUGCUGUUACCCGUUUAAGUCCUACUUUAGUUUAACCAUGCUGUCUCGCACAUACGUGAUAGAUGUGUCAUUAGAGGUGCUUUUUUUUGGUGCUAAUUGCUCUAUUCACAUAUUUUUCCUUCUACUUUAAUAAUGACUGCAUGUGGUACUGCUUUGUAAAAGACUAUAUCUUAAUCUUAGCUUUAAACUGGAGCACUUGAUGUUAUCUCAGACAACACUAAACAAGCUGGCACAGGAAUGCAGGACAUAAGAGGCACAUGCCUACUGCACUAUAGGGCUUCAGGACUUGAAUAGACUACAGUAAAAUCAAAUAGUUGGAAAAGAAUGUAUUCCAUUAUUACCAAGUUUACUGUAUUGGGUCCCCACAGUGUGUCUUUUUGUAUAUACUGAAUUUGGUCAAAAAGAUCACUGACUAGGAAAUGAGUUAAUGAGUCUCUUAGAGGGCGACAAUCUCUUUGAAAUUGUUACCCUUUGAUAAGGGCAACAGUCUGAAGGAGCGGUCAGGCAUUGGAACAAGCUGUCCAGGAGAGCAGUGGAGCCACCAUUCCUGGAGGUGUUCAAGGAAAUGACAGAUGUAGUAAUCAGGACAUGGUUCAAUGGGCAAUAUUGGUGGCAGGUGGGUGGUUGGAGUAGAUGAUCUUCGACAUCUUUUCUAACCUUAGUGAUUCUACCAUUCUAUAAUCAGAGUCUGCAUUUCUAUUCCCAUGGUACUGCCUGGAAAACCUGUAUUCUUAAAUAAACCAAAAUAAAAAAGGAUCAAAUUUUUGGUCAGUGCCAAAUAAAUGCUCACCAACAUCAACCAGACAGCAAUAAUAAGUUUGGUAUACUGCAAGAUAAAAAAAACCAACAACAACAAAAUCAGUUAACUUAGACUGCUAAAUGCCAGUUUUCGAACUUCUCAGUAUUUACGUUUAGCUACUUCACGGAAAAAAAUGAACAGCACAGAUACCAAAGUUCAGACUUAAAAUCUCCAUAUUAUCCUUCGUCAGUGAGGUGAAAAUGAAAUAAUCCGUCUUCCUUUAAAAACAAUGGAAGUAAAAUCAAGUAUAAUGAAAGCACAUCAAGAAACAAACUGUACAAUCUCUGAACUGCACUGUUUAUUUUGCUGCUUGAAACCUAAGUGACAGUAUGCCACUAAUUAUGGGGUUUCUUCUAAACCUUUACUACACUGCAGGUACAGAAAUAUACGGACACAUUUUUGGAGAAUUGACAUUUUUUCAAAAUGCAGCAAACAUUUCAAUUUAUACAUGAGAAAAGGAAGUGUUCAAAAGGGUAUGCAUUUCAAGUUAUUGCAGGUUAUUUCUGUGAGAAUUUCUGCAA